CUGAGUCAGAGUAAAUGAGCUGCCAAACAAAUUAAUCUUCUGCAACAAAAUCACUCAAAUGAAUCAAAGGGGAAAAAUCAAGCAUCAGAAUUGCACAAAGAAAAAAGGUACUAACAAUUUAUCAAUCAAAUUCCACGCUCAAGAUUCUAGCCAAAAAACAAUCGAGAAAAUCUUCAAAAACCCAAAUAAACAAAGGCAAAAAUAUAAUCAAUAAACCUGGAAAAGGAGUCUUACCAAAAAAGGAAAAAAUUGAUUCUCGAUACAUACAUAAAACAUAUAUCAAGAGUGAAAGUAGAAAGAGCAAAAGUUCAAUCCAAAAUCAAAAGGGUCACUCACCAAAGAUUAUAGAAGGCCAAAAUUUGCAAAGGCGUGAACUCCAUUUCUUGCAUUUUGCACAACAUUUGGCACGAGCUCUGAGUACUCUUUUUUCUUCUGCUGCCAACACUGAAUAAGUUUGGACUCUUUAUAUAGGGUCACUGACUAACGUGGGUUAACCUUGUUCUAACACUUACUUGAUGAUAACCAGGGUUAGUUGGUGCAGUGUAUAAUGUAUUUUUCUGUUGUGGAUUGUGUAGUCUUUAAUUUCAAACUCAUCUAAAGAUUAAAUUUUAAACUGUACAAUUUAAGUAACUUCUCCAUUUUUAAGGAUAUAUUAUGUUAUAAUCAUCAAUUAUUAACCAUAUAAAGAGAAAUAAUAACACUAACUAUCCAUGUGGGCAAUGUGAAAAUCUUAAAUAUUUGGGAUUUUAAGUCAAAGAAUGAUAAUACAUCAUCAAAUUCAUAGAAUCUACCUAGUCUUAGACAAGAAGGGUUGCUAUGAUGGUAAGCAACCCCCACUUCCAACCGAGAGGUUGUGAGUUCGAGUCUCCCCAAGAGCAAGGUAGGAAGUUCUUGGAGGGCUAUGAUGGUAAGCAACCCCCACUUCCAACCGAGAGGUUGUGAGUUCGAGUCUCCCCAAGAGCAAUGUGGAAAGUUCUUGAAGGGAAGCAUGUCGGAUUUCUAUUUGAAAACAGUCUCUCUACCCAAGGGUAGGGUUAAGGUCUGCGUACAUAUUAUCCUCCCAGACCUCACUAAGUGAGAUUAUGGGUUGUUGUUGUUGUUGUUUGCCUAGUCUUACUUGGAUAUUGCAAAUUAGAUUAAUUAUAUAGUAAGAUGAUAAUGGCAAACCAAACAUAAUGUGUCAAUGGUGUUGUACCACAUGUUACAAUAGUUUUAUGCAUAUUUCGCAAUAACAGUGACUUCUGCUUUGAUAUUAUCAAUUCUAUAAGUAGCUUACAUUGACUUAUCUCGACCAACAAAUAACUUUACUUUGAGCAUAUGUUUAAAACUAAAAAUAAAUAGAUAAAAUAUAUUAUUCGAGUUGUUACAUAUUUCCAGACCCCACUUUGUAGGACUAUACUGGGUAAUUGUUGUUGUUGUUAUACAUAACAAUCAAUAGUGCAAUAUAGUAAGACAUACAUGGACUAGGGGAAAUAGAUACAUUGCAAGCAUUACGAUUGAGAUUAGGGAUACUAAUUUGUGGUUUGGCGUGAAUAAGUGAAAAGUUGCACUAAUCUUCCUAACAAAUGUGCACAAAUAGGAAUUGAGCUAUUUAUGAUUGACAUAAGUUUAAGCAUUGUUUAAGGAAGUGAUUAAAAAAAUGUAACUAAAAGAAUUAAUAGCAUGUAACUUUAUGGAAGUUGUACUUUGGUUGAGUUUGCUAUGGUCCAGCUUAGUCAAUCGUUCUCGUGUCGUUGAUCACCUUAAAUAUGUUACGAAUUCGAAAUGUUCAGCUUUAAGUUCAUAUAAUAUGUCGUAGUCAAGCAUAGUCACUUCUUAAUAUACUCAUUAGUCGUGAAGUCAAUUUCUAAGACAAGUCAAAACUUAAGCAACAAAACUUCACCUUAUUUUAUUUAUGGGAAAAAAGGAUCAGAACUGCCCCUAAAGUAUUGACUCCAGUUUAAAAAUAUCCUCCGUUAACCUAUUUUGAAAAAAAUGCCCCUACCGUUAAAAAUUUGGCAUAUUUAUGCCUAUAAGUCUAACAACUGACUGUACUUAUAUUUAAAACGGUAUGAGCAUUUUUUUCAAAAUAGGUUAACGGUAGGGGCAUUUUUAAACUGGAGUCAAU
rnacentral:lncRNA from 1 species